AGAACAUUUUUGUAACAGAAAUUUAUAUUUCAUUUUUUAGAGAAACCAUCCUUGUUAAAGAUGUGACAUUAAUCCCUCCAAACCUACAAAACACAAUUGAUUAGGUAAGUUGCAGAUUAUCUGAGAUAUUUUUGAUUAUCAUCCCAAGAAAUGUAGCAUACAUGUAUUACUCUUCUUUCAUUUAUAUGAUCAUGAAGAUACAUGUACCUUGUAAUUUGUACAGUUGUAUAUGUAUUUCUGCCAUCUGUCACUGUUAAUUUAAAUGUACAUUAGGGGUCAGUAAAUAAUCAAAACAUGAUACAUGUAUAAAGACUAAUGGUGUGUAUUUUCAUUAACUAAUACACAGGUUUUUUUUUGUGUUCAGAUUGAUAGCAAUUUUGUUGUCAAUUGUUGUAGUGUCAUUGAUAUUUAAGUGAAUGAAAUAAAUGGUUGUACCUAAAAUUAUUUGAAACAUGUCUGAACUUAACUUAUAUAUAGAUACAAUUAACAUUGUAUAACCAAUUUUUAUUUACAUUUGUAUAUCUAUAUGUACAUGAUCAAUGUAUCAAUGAUGAUGACAAGAACUUCUUUUUAAAUUUCAGAGAUGCUAAUUAACCUUGUUAAUGACUGUGGAGAACUUAUGCUACAUUUACCUAAUACACAGACAAACACAGAUGGGCAUAGGUAAUAAAUAGAGCAGUUUUCUAAGAUACAUGUUCAUGUUUAUUGUUAUACAUGUAUCAUGUAUAUUAUGCCUUGUCUUUAAAAAAGAUAGAUAUGAAACAUGAACACAUAUGUACAUGUUCCAUGUUUACAUGUAUUAGAGAGUUAUCUAACCUGUUUAAAAGCUGAUAACUACUUAGUACUAUCAAAAUUUUAGUCUAUUUGUUUCUCUAUUUGUCCAUGAUUUAUCUUAUAAUGGAUAGAGUUUGAAAAUUAAAUCUAUAAAGUUGGAUAAAAUAUUCAUAAUGCUUGCAUUGGUACAAAGCCAUUUUGAAAAUAAGAAGAUGUGGUAUGAUUGCCAAUAUGAAAACUCUCCCCAAUACAGGGCCGUAACUACAUUGAGGCAAAUGAGGCAAAUGCCUCAUGUUGGAAAUUUCAAAAAAAAAAAAAAAAAACUAAAACAAGAUUGUCUUCAUUACAUGUAUCAACCUGAAUUGUUUUCACGGAAAGUGUCUUGCAAGAAGCAGUUCUAUUCACUAUUUGAUGUUGCCACUGCAUGUUUUUCGUGAUCCAUGUUUCUAUUUUACUUUUAGUUUUCAGAGUUGAUGGUCUGUUGUUUGUACUUCUGUUUCCUGGGUUUGUCUUUUGUUCAUUUAUUGUCCUUCUUUAUAACUAUAGUCUGCAGAGUGUUGAUUUUCAUUUGUCAAGUGUGGUUUUGCAAUGUUGCAUGUCCACCGAUGUCCAGACAUUGUACCAGAAAAUAUUUUAAGAAUAUACAAUGCUACUGGAUAUAAAAAAAAAUUGUCGUUUAUGCAUGGAGAAUUGAACUUGGUGCCAGCUGAAGGACCCCUACCUGUUGUCUGCUCUAUGGUCGGGUUAAAUUGUUGUCGCUUUGACACAUUCCCCAUUUUCUUUCUCAAUUUUAUUGAUAUCAAAUAAUACAAAACUGGCUUUUUGUUUUGUAGAUAAAACUAGAUAGAUGACAUGGUUUAAAUUAAAGUAUGACCACCAAUUUCCCGGUAUCAAAUCAUCUUUAAACAAACGUCAAUGUAUUGCCAUAUGACCUUUUACAUUGAAGGGUUAAACUUGCAGGAAGUCGUGUUCAGACCUUUAAACAGAAAAUAAAAGAAUAUUGAGUAAACGUGCACAGGACCUUAUCUCACACAAAGUCAAUGCAUAGAAAAAAUACAAAUGAUCAAAGUUUUUUUCCUGUUCUUCAUCUGGAUAGUUGAUGGAGGGCCUUAAACAAUAAAAGAAUCAUUAAUACCAUAAAACAAGGUCAAGAUGGUCCUUAGUGUCGACUUAAGCAGACUGAGUACUAGUACUUAAAGUAUAAUACUGCACUGUCAUUAUAUUUAAAUCUAGUCAUAAAAAAAUCACCCAAGUCUAAAUUAAGCACAAUACAAGACAAGAACAGACAGACAUAAUGAUUAUGAGAAUUUCGGUUUUUGCUUUAUCCUACAUAUCGGUCUACUUUUAAUGUUGUCCCCGUAAAACCUAAAAGUCUUAAAUUACAAUGAAUCUAGAAUGAAAUUCAAAACAGUGUGGCUGUGGCCAUUGAUUGACACAUUAAAAUCAUCCAUUGACUGGGACUAUUUAGGUGAACGUUUGUAUGUAACGACCAAUGCUCACUAUGUACUUUUUAAAGACACUUAAACUAUGGGGUCAAAAGGUUCUCAACACCUAAAUAAAGUAAUUCGAAAAAUUAAUCAGAAAUAACACGAUAUUUUGAUUUAUAUCAAUUAUAUAAAUCAAAACACAAAGGUUAUUCCUGAUUAAUUUUUCGAAUUAUUUUAUAAUUAAAGGCGUUAAGAAACUUUGGUGACCCCACAGUUUAAAUGUCUAUCGUAGGUACGUCGUGAACAGUGGUCGUUACAGACAAACGUUCACGUAAAUUGUCCCAGUCAAUGGAUGAUUUUAAUGUGUCAAUCAAUGGCCACAGCUACACUGUUUUGAAUUUCAUUCUAUGUUUUUGCUUUGAGACCAGAAUAUUGUCGAAAAAAUAGCUAAAAAUUAUUUGCGUUUCUAUGUAAGAAAGAGUCCGGGAAACGCUCAGAAUGCACGAUUUUGCGUUAUUUUUCUCAGAGCUUCUGGGGGCCUUUAGCGGCCCCCAGACCCCUCGCCAAAAUUUUUUCGCCUCGCUACGCUCGGCGAAUAUAUUUUGCCUCAGUAUUAAAAAGGGCUAGUUACGGCCCUGCAAUACAUGUACUUCACAUGACAUAUAAAGGAACCACAUUAAGUCACCAUACAACCUUACACAAUAAGACAAACCCAUACUACAUAAUCAGCUAUAAAUUUAAACAAUUCAAAGGAGAAGACUAAAUACAACUACUGAAUUAUUGGUUAUACAGCAUUAAAAUACAACUACUGAAUUACUGGUUCCUGACUUGGGACAGGCACAUACAGAAUGUGGCAGGGAUAAACUAGAUUGAACUUUAUUAAAAAAUUACCCAUUAUCAAACUAAAAAUGCUUAUUACUAAGUGAACUCAGAUUACUCUGCUGUUUACAUAUUUGUUAAACUAUAAUUUGCUUCUUGUAGAAAUUAGCCUGUGAGAUCAAGAUGCAGAUAUAUCCACCAGAUACCAAAUGCCACACCAAAGCAGACAUUUUCAAAUGUUGA
rnacentral:lncRNA from 1 species